rnacentral:tRNA from 1 species
GCCUUCGUGGUGUAGUGGUCUGCAUGUUCGAAGCGUAUUCCAGAGGUCCGUGGUUCGAUUCCCGGCGAAGGCG